GUAGGGAAUAUUGGUCAAUGGACGAAAGUCUGAACCAGCCAUUCCGCGUGCAGGAAGAAGAUUCUAUGGAUUGUAAACUGCUUUUAGCAGAGAAGAAACGCCUUCAUUGAUGAGGGUUUGACGGUAUCUGCGGAAUAAGCACCGGCUAACUCCGUGCCAGCAUCCGCGGUAAUACGGGGGGUGCAAGCGUUAUCCGGAAUCACUGGGUUUAAAGGGUGCGUAGGCGGGAAAUUAAGUCAGUGGUGAAAGUCUGUUGCUUAACGAUAGAAUUGCCGUUGAUACUGAUUAUCUUGAAUUGGGUUGAGGUUAGCGGAAUGUGACAUGUAGCGGUGAAAUGCAUAGAUAUGUCAUGGAACACCAAUUGCGAAGGCAGCUAGCUGGGCCUUGAUUGACGCUGAGGCACGAAAGCGUGGGUAGCGAACAGGAUUAGAUACCCCUGUAGUCC
rnacentral:rRNA from 1 species